GAUGAACGCUGGCGGCGUGCCUAAUACAUGCAAGUCGAGCGAACAGACGAGGAGCUUGCUCCUCUGACGUUAGCGGCGGACGGGUGAGUAACACGUGGAUAACCUACCUAUAAGACCGGGAUAACUUCGGGAAACCGGAGCUAAUACCGGAUAAUAUAUUGAACCGCAUGGUUCAAUAGUGAAAGACGGUUUUGCUGUCACUUAUAGAUGGAUCCGCGCCGCAUUAGCUAGUUGGUAAGGUAACGGCUUACCAAGGCGACGAUGCGUAGCCGACCUGAGAGGGUGAUCGGCCACACUGGAACUGAGACACGGUCCAGACUCCUACGGGAGGCAGCAGUAGGGAAUCUUCCGCAAUGGGCGAAAGCCUGACGGAGCAACGCCGCGUGAGUGAUGAAGGUCUUCGGAUCGUAAAACUCUGUUAUUAGGGAAGAACAAAUGUGUAAGUAACUAUGCACGUCUUGACGGUACCUAAUCAGAAAGCCACGGCUAACUACGUG
rnacentral:rRNA from 1 species